rnacentral:rRNA from 1 species
UAGGGAAUCUUCCGCGAUGGGCGAAAGCUUGACGGAGCAACGCCGCGUGAGUGAUGAAGGUCUUCGGAUCGUAAAACUCUGUUAUUAGGGAAGAACAAAUGUGUAAGUAACUAUGCACGUCUUGACGGUACCUAAUCAGAAAGCCACGGCUAACUACGUGCCAGCAGCCGCGGUAAUACGUAGGUGGCAAGCGUUAUCCGGAAUUAUUGGGCGUAAAGCGCGCGUAGGCGGUUUUUUAAGUCUGAUGUGAAAGCCCACGGCUCAACCGUGGAGGGUCAUUGGAAACUGGAAAACUUGAGUGCAGAAGAGGAAAGUGGAAUUCCAUGUGUAGCGGUGAAAUGCGCAGAGAUAUGGAGGAACACCAGUGGCGAAGGCGACUUUCUGGUCUGUAACUGACGCUGAUGUGCGAAAGCGUGGGGAUCAAACAGG